ensembl:snRNA U1 U1 spliceosomal RNA
AUACUUACCUGGCAGGGGAGAUACCAUGAUCACAAAGGUGAUUUUCCCAGGUUGAGGCUUAUCCAUUGCACUCCUGAUGUGCCGAUCCCUGCAAUUUCCCCACAUGUAGGAAACUCGACUGCAUAAUUUGUGGUAGUGGGGGACUGUGUUUGUGCUCUUCCCUG